UCGCUACUACCGAUCGGAUGGCUUAGUGAGUUUCACGGACUGGUGCCUCUGGAUGGCUUGUCCUUCUUUUGGCAUCGGGAAGUGAAUCAAACUUGAUCAUCUAGAGGAAGUAA
rnacentral:rRNA from 1 species